GCUUAUUUGGCACAGUGGAUAGAGCAUUGGCCUGUGGACUGAAGGGUCCUGGGUUCAAUUCCCAGUAGGGAGCG
rnacentral:tRNA from 1 species